rnacentral:lncRNA from 8 species
UUUGUCUGUCUCUCCCUAAACGGAGCCUGCAGUUCCUGACCCUCCACGACUGCCUGCUGAGAAACUUCAACCUGUCCCGUCUGGAGUCCACCUACGAGAUCAGACAUGACGUGGAGGACGUUGUGACUCGCAUAAAACCACGGUGAGCAGAGAACACACACCUAUAACUGAUGGUAAGAAAAUGUUCCCACAUUUCUGUUUACUUAGACUUUGUAAUUUGUGUCUCACUCAUAACUCAAUUUCUAUGACAUUUUCAGGCACUCGUAGUAUGAUAGUGUGGUGUUUGUGGGUUGACCUGCUGUCUUGUCUUCCGUUAGGCAGUCAGAGUGUGGUGUUUGGGGGCCAGCCAGGAUGUCUCAGACAUCACAGCCUUCUCCAUCGUGGAGGGCUGCGGAAGCACGACGUUUGCUUUCUGGUCACGGUGUGGCCCAAUCUGCCCUACGGCACACGCCUCGACCCGGCGCCAGCCCUUUAUGGAGCAGACAGGCCUGGCCUACGUGAGUGGCUGCGAGGUGCAGGGCAUGCUGGACGACAAGGACCGCGUCAUCGAGGAAGGCCUUGACCAGGACGUUCAGAGUGUGGCUGGACCCUAACCAGUACCAGUAGGACAUGACCGACAGCAUCCAGAACGGCACUGAGGACCCCUAUGAGUCCUUCAACAUCAUCAUGAGACGCAAACCCAAGGAGAACAACUUCAAGACUAGUGGGGGGGGGGACUGUAUUACUGCACAUUAAACAUGACCCAGUUUGGUAUUUACACUCCCUCUCUCUAUAUCCCUACCUCCAUCCCUUCUUCCUUUUCAUACUACCUCUCACCUUCCACCCAUCCUUUGCUUCCUCCCUCUUUGCCUUCCCUCAUUCCUCCCUUUAUUUGAGCACAGCCCCCAGGCCUCCCUGGCUUUUUAAUCUGUUGUUAUGCCAAACAACACUAUAUUCCAACUAUAUCAUUAGAAUAAUCAUUCUAUUUCUAUGAUUCCACAGAUCACCCAAGUGGUUUGAAAAUAUUGCAAAUCAAAUCGCAAUCGCAGUAAAAAACACACAAUUAGAUGUUUUGCCCAUAUCGUGCAGUCCUAACACAAGCUCAUUACUGUCAUUUCAAAAUUACAUCAAUGCUUUAGGAAAUACGUUUUGUUUUACAUUUCACAAAAUUAAAUGAAAAGGAAGAUGUUGCUCAAGUAUUUGACACACAGGAUAUCACAUAGUUGAACACUCAUUAAAAUGUGAUUGACAUGUAGGCAAGUCCCUCUUUUCACAUUUGAUCAGAUUCUGGUACAUAUUAAAACUUCUUAAGGCUAGGGGGCAGUAUUCGGAGGUUUGGAUGACUGAGGUGCCCAAAGUAAACUGCCUGUUACUCAGGCCCAGAAGCUAAGCUAGGAUAUGCAUGGUAGUAUUGGAUAGAGAACAUUCUAAAGUUUCUAAAACUGUUAAAAUAAUCUCUGUGAGUAUAACAGAACUGAUAUGGCAGGCGAAAACCCGAGGACUAACCAUCCAGAAAAAAAUAAUUCAGCCCACCAUUGAUUCCUAUGGCUGUCAUUUUUAAUAUGAAAGCAAUACCUCCCAGAUUGCAGUUGCUAGGGCUUCCACUAGAUGUCAACAGUCUUUAGAAAGAGUUUCAGGCUUGUUUUUGGAAAAUGAGCUAGAAUCUGUAGUUUUUCUAAGUGGCUCCCAUUUUGGCUGUAGUGUUUGUUACGCGUUCCAGGGCGUACUUUGUUGUUUAUCUCCGGUAAUGACAAUAACUAUUCUCCGUCUUAAAUUUUAUAGUUUAUUUACGUAUUAGGGUACCUGAGGUUUGAUUAUAAACAUUGUUUGAAUUGUUUGGAGAAGUUUAUUGGUAACGUUUGGGAUUCAUUUUGUAUGCAUUUUGAAGGAGGGAAACCGGUGGAUUAUUGAAUGAAGCGCGCCAGCUAAACUGAGUUUUUGGGGAUAUAAAGAAGAACUUUAUCGAACAAAACGACCAUUUGUGAUGUAGCUGGGACCUUUUGGAGUGCCAACAAAAGAAGAUCUUCAAAGGUAAGUGAUUUAUUUUAUCGCUAUUUCUGACUUUCGUGGCGCAUCAGCCUGGUUGGAAAAUGUUUUUAAUGCGUUUGUGUGCUGGGCGCUGUCAUCAGAUAAUCGCAUUGUGUGCUUUCGCCAUACAGCCUUUUUGAAGUCUGACACAGCGGCUGGAUUAACAAGAAGUUAAGCUUUUAACUGAUGUAUGACACUUGUAUUUUCAUGAAUGUUUCAUAUGACUAUUUCUGUAAUUUGAAUUUUGCGCUCUGCAAUUUCACCGGAUGUUGUCAAAUCGAUCCCGGUAACGGGAUUCGAGCUGUAAGAUCCCUAAGUUUAACCAUUUUUAUAUCUGAUCAUUUUCUCCACCCCUUGUUUUGUCCCCCAGGCUGUCCUGGAAAUGAUUAGGAACCUGAUGAACAAUGUGUAUGGACGCAGAAUGGCUCCAUAACAUCAUCCUGGGCUACGGUGAUCCAGGCUCUGGCCCUUACUCCAAGAUGCCCAAU